rnacentral:rRNA from 1 species
GCAAGUCGAACGGAAACGGAAAGAGCUUGCUCUUAAACGUCGAGUGGCGGACGGGUGCGUAACGCGUGGAUAUCUGCCUAUAAGUUGGGGACAACCCUUGGAAACAGGGGCUAAUACCGAAUAAGCCCUACUUUGCAAAAAGUGGAGUAAAGUAUGCCACUAUACUAUGCAUACGCUUAUAGAUGAGUCCGCGUUGGAUUAGCUAGAUGGUGGGGUAAAGGCCUACCAUGGCGACGAUCCAUAGCUGGUUUGAGAGGAUGAUC